rnacentral:rRNA from 1 species
AGAGUUUGAUUAUGGCUCAGGACAACGCUGGCGGCGUGCCUAACACAUGCAAGUCGAGCGAAGUAUUACUUAGCGGCGGACGGGUGAGUAACGCGUGAGCAACCUGCCUUUCACAAAGGGAUAGCCUCGGGAAACUGGGAUUAAUACCAUAUAACUUACCUUUCGCAUGGAAGGAAAGUCAAAGCGAUAAGCGGUGAAAGAUGGGCUCGCGUCCUAUUAGCUAGUUGGUGAGGUAACGGCUCACCAAGGCGACGAUAGGUAGCCGGCCUGAGAGGGUGAACGGCCACACUGGAACUGAGACACGGUCCAGACUCCUACGGGAGGCAGCAGUGGGGGAUAUUGCACAAUGGAGGAAACUCUGAUGCAGCGACGCCGCGUGAGUGAGGUUCGUCGAGCUCUGUCCUAGGGGUAAACCCUAGGAGGAAGCCCCGGCAACUACGUGCCAGCAGCCGCGGUAAUACGUAGGGGGCGAGCGUUGUCCGGAAUUACUGGGCGUAAAGAGUUCGUAGGCGGUCUGAUAAGUCAGAUGUGAAAGGCGUAGGCUCAACCUAUGUAAGCAUAUGAAACUGUCAGACUUGAGGUAAGGAGAGGAAAGUGGAAUUCCUAGUGUAGCGGUGAAAUGCGUAGAUAUUAGGAGGAAUACCAGUGGCGAAGGCGACUUUCUGGACUAAACUGACGCUGAGGAACGAAAGCGUGGGGAGCAAACAGGAUUAGAUACCCUGGUAGUCCACGCCGUAAACGAUGAGUGCUAGGUGUUGGGGAGACUCAGUGCCGCAGCUAACGCAAUAAGCACUCCGCCUGGGGAGUACGACCGCAAGGUUGAAACUCAAAGGAAUUGACGGGGACCCGCACAAGCAGCGGAGCAUGUGGUUUAAUUCGAAGCAACGCGAAGAACCUUACCAGGUCACACUCUGACAAUCCAAGAGAUUGGGCUUUCGGGAGAAGGUGGUGCAUGGUUGUCGUCAGCUCGUGUCGUGAGAUGUUGGGUUAAGUCCCGCAACGAGCGCAACCCCUGUGGUUAGUUGCCAUCAUUUAGUUGGGCACUCUAAGCAGACUGCCGUGGAUAACACGGAGGAAGGUGGGGACGACGUCAAAUCAUCAUGCCCCUUAUGACCUGGGCUACACACGUGCUACAAUGGUCUGAACAGAGGGCUGCGAAACCGCGAGGUGAAGCUAUCCCUUAAAACAGAUCUCAGUUCGGAUUGCAGGCUGCAACUCGCCUGCAUGAAGUUGGAGUUGCUAGUAAUCGCAGGUCAGCAUACUGCGGUGAAUACGUUCCCGGGCCUUGUACUCACCCCCGUC